rnacentral:rRNA from 1 species
GAUGAACGCUAGCGGCAGGCCUAACACAUGCAAGCCGAGCGGUAUUUUUUCUUCGGAACGGAGAGAGCGGCGCACGGGUGCGGAACACGUGUGCAACCUGCCUUUAUCUGGGGGAUAGCCUUUCGAAAGGAAGAUUAAUACCCCAUAAUAAAUUGAUUUGCAUCCCUUGAGAUUGAAAACUCCGGUGGAUAGAGAAGGGAACGCGCAAGAUUAGAUAGUUGGUAAGGUAACGGCUCAGCAAGUCAGUGAUCUUUAGGUGGCCUGGGAGGGUGAUACCCCAGACUGGAACUAGGACACCGACCAGGAUACUACGGGACGGAGCAGAGUGGAACAUGAGGCAGUGGGGUAGAACGUGAUACAGCCGUCCCACGUGAAAGCCAACAGCGCUAUGGGAUGUAAGCUUCUUUUGUAGAGGGAAAACCCUACUAUCGGGGGAGAAGCUGACGGUACUAUACGAAUAAGCACCGGCUAACUCCGUG